rnacentral:rRNA from 1 species
UUGUCCCCUAAAUAGGGACUGGAAUGAACGGCUAAAUGAGGACAAAACUGUCUCUUACAGCUUGGCCAAUGAAAUUGAUCUUCCUGUACAAAAGCCGGAAUAAACCCAUAAGACGAGAAGACCCUGUGGAGCUUCAAAACCAAAACCACUAAACAUGCUUCUUGGAUUUUUAGUUGGGGCGACUUUGGAGCAAAAAAAACCCUCCAAAACAUAAAUUUAUUUAUUAAGACUAACACACCAAAAAUAAUUUUUACAGACCCAGCAAUAUUUUUAUUGUCUGAUCAAUGAACCAAGUUACCCCAGGGAUAACAGCGCCAUCCUCUUCUAGAGUCCCUAUCGACAAGAGGGUUUACGACCUCGAUGUUGGAUCAGGACACCCCUAUAGUGCAGCCGCUAUAAAAGGUUCGUUUGUUCAACGAUUAAAGUCCU